ACAUUUAUUAAUAUUAUACAAUGAGGACGUCAAAGUUUUCAAGAAUAAUUAUUGAAUUACAAACCAAAUCUUAAACUAGUUUAAAAUUACAAACCACAAUGUUCUAUAAUUUAAAAUACAUAUUUAAAAGUCCCGAAGAGUGUUUCCCAACGCAUCCUCACACUAAAUGUCUUCACUUUUACCUGAAACAUCAUCUACUCCCGUAUAACGACACGAGUUAUACGAUCAUUGUAGACACACAAGUAGGGUGAGCUAACCGAAUACAGAAAAACAUAAGUUACAGAUAAACCUACUUACGCACUUUGAAUGUUUAAUAAUAUUAUUAACGUAAACAUACUACCUUCACGUAUACUUCAGACACUACUCAUUUCUCAUCUGACUCUAAUCACUUCUCAUUUCACACGUAGCUAUUGGAUUUAUCUCGAUUUUUACGCAUUUGUUAAGUAUAUGCCAAAACCAGUCCCUCAUAUGGAUCGCCGAUAAGAGUCGUCCUACGCACGCCGCAUUGGACAUAUCUCCCUAAUUCUUCAAGGGCUUACGAGUAAAAACAUUGGUGAGUAACAUCCAUUCACCAAGCACAAUACUCAGCACAAGUCAUAAACUCUUGGCGAGAUAUUUGUACCCUCUUGAAAAAGGAAAAGUAACAGGACUCAAAUCCACCUAUCGCCUUACAUAGGCAAAAAGGAAAUCAUCCUUUUUAAAACCGAGAUAAAUAUAAAUCAUCCCAAUGAUACGAUAAGAUUAGAGAAUAAAAAAGGAUUAUCUAUUAGACUCAAAGAACUCAACAUCCAUUAACUUAAAUUAAGUCUAAAAAUAAAUUCAGAAUAACGUGUUGUCUACUUUGACCUUUGCUCAAUGUUUUACUCGUAAUUUUUCUCUACAAUAUUCCGACUGAAGAGAUUCUUGUUUUGUUGGAUUCUAAACUCAAAAAUCUUUUCUUGGACAUCAGACUCGUAAAAUAUUUUUCAUUACAAUUUUAAUAUUUAAAAUAUUCAUCACUCUUAACCUUUUUAAUUGAUGUGAUAUAAUUCUGGUUCAUUCAUAGACAUCAGAAAACUUAAAUUAGUAAAUACGAUGCAACUAUCAAUCAUAAUUUCAUCAUAGACAACAAAAAUAUCAAGUUUAUAUAUGAUAUAAUAAUACACUUCCAUUACGCUCAAAUACAUAAAUUUCACGUCCAAUAUAAUACAUUCAACACAAAAAGUAAUGGUAAGCUACCAUAAAAAAAAUAAUUUUAAUAUAAACGUUUUGGGAAAUCAAGAAGUUGAAUCUGGCAAAGCCGGUUAGACAUCUUCUUAUCCUUCUAGAUAGAUGUAAUAGAAAAAGGAUAUACACUCAAUAAUUCAUACAAACAUCAUAAAGUCCAUUCAUCCCCAAAAAUCAUACAAAUUAAAUAUAUCACAAAAUAAUUUAACUGACCAUAAUCUGUUUGAUAAGAAUUAGUUAAAAACACAUCGAGUAGACUUCCAGGAAAGAGAGGUGCGUCACAAUGGACAACUUAAGUACCAGGUCUUUCCUUAGCCAAAGUGUUCCUCAACAUGUUAUUAACAAAUUUCUUAUUCACAGAUUCAAAACAACAACAUAAAAUAUUAUCACAGAAAUUCAAAUAGUUAUACAACAAGCACAUAGGUUUUUCAUUAACAGUAAUUGCACAAAAUUUCAAGACAUAAAUAGUUAUAAAAAAAUAUUUUAUAAUAUAAAAACUUUGAAAGGUUAGCUCCCCUUACCUCUAUUUCAGACUCAAUUUCUUGUUCCGAAUUGUUCUCCCGAAAACUCUCCAAAACCUCUACUCUUCUAAAAUUUUCUUCCUAACUCUUUCUUCUCAAGAUUUCUCACUUGAUUUUUCC
rnacentral:lncRNA from 1 species